UCUACCCUACGGGAGGCAGCAGUGAGGAAUAUUGGUCAAUGGGCGUAAGCCUGAACCAGCCAAGUCGCGUGAGGGAUGAAGGAUCUAUGGUUCGUAAACCUCUUUUAUAAGGGAAUAAAGUGUGGGACGCGUCCCGCUUCGCAUGUACCUUAUGAAUAAGGAUCGGCUAACUCCGUGCCAGCAGCCGCGGUAAUACGGAGGAUCCGAACGUUAUCCGGAUUUAUUGGGUUUAAAGGGUGCGUAGGCGGCCUUUUAAGUCAGCGGUGAAAGUCUGUGGCUCAACCAUAGAAUUGCCGUUGAAACUG
rnacentral:rRNA from 1 species